CCCUUUGGGGUGUGACUGCGUACCUUUUGUAUAAUGGGUCAGCGACUUAUAUUCUGUAGCAAGGUUAACCGUAUAGGGGAGCCGGAGGGAAACCGAGUCUUAAUUGGGCGUUAAGUUGCAGGGUAUAGACCCGAAACCCGGUGAUCUAGCCAUGGGCAGGUUGAAGGUUGGGUAACACUAACUGGAGGACCGAACCGACUAAUGUUGAAAAAUUAGCGGAUGACCUGUGGCUGGGGGUGAAAGGCCAAUCAAACCGGGAGAUAGCUGGUUCUCCCCGAAAGCUAUUUAGGUAGCGCCUCGUGAAUUCAUCUCCGGGGGUAGAGCACUGUUUCGGCUAGGGGGCCAUCCCGGCUUACCAACCCGAUGCAAACUGCGAAUACCGGAGAAUGUUAUCACGGGAGACACACGGCGGGUGCUAACGUCCGUCGUGAAGAGGGAAACAACCCAGACCGCCAGCUAAGGUCCCAAAGUCAUGGUUAAGUGGGAAACGAUGUGGGAAGGCCCAGACAGCCAGGAUGUUGGCUUAGAAGCAGCCAUCAUUUAAAGAAAGCGUAAUAGCUCACUGGUCGAGUCGGCCUGCGCGGAAGAUGUAACGGGGCUAAACCAUG
rnacentral:rRNA from 1 species